rnacentral:rRNA from 1 species
CACGUAGGCACCAAGCGUUGUCCGGAUUUAUUGGGCGUAAAGAGCUCGUAGGCGGUUCAGUAAGUCGGGUGUGAAAACUCUGGCUCAACCCAGAGACGCCACCCGAUACUGCUGUGACUUGAGUACGGUAGGGGAGUGGGGAAUUCCUGGUGUAGCGGUGAAAAUGCGCAGAUAUCAGGAGGAACACCGGUGGCGAAGGCGGAUCUCUGGGCCUUGCCUGACGCUGAGGCGCGAAAGCUAGGGGAGCGAACAGG